GCCCAUUUCCGGCCGGCCUGCAACUUCCUCAACGUCAACGAACUCGCUGCUUUGUGGGAGUAGAAGCUCGGCCGCACUCUCCCUCGAGAGACCGUCACUGAAGACAACCUCCUCGCCGCCGCCGCAGAGAAUAUCAUCCUGCGCAGCGUGAUGGCGGCUCUCACCCACGACAUAUUCAUCAAGGGAUGUCAGAUCAAUUUCUCUAUUGAUG